AUGCCUGACUGUUAUGGUCGGUAUCACAAGCUGAUUUGUCAUGUAAUUUUGAAUGAUAAUAGAGGCAACAUUGACAUCAGUUUCUACGCCAAGUUUUUCACUUUUAUCAAGCCAAGUAACUACUAUUUGCGGAAACUAUAUUUUAUCUCUGUUGUUGGUUUAGGAAUACGACCCCAUAACAUCCAAUCAAUUGCUUUGGGUAAGGGAAAUAUAUCGAAAACGAAGGAACUACAAAGCUGCAUUAAAAUAAAGGCAAUGAAAGGAUUUGUUUAA